GGGUCGUGAGAAAAUACGCAGGAAGAGAUACCCCGUGGACAUGUUUCCCUUGGAAAGUGGAUGGAACCCUCUGAGCCAUGAUUCCGCCGGAAUUAAGCAGUGGCGGGCACUGGCCUGGCAGGCGGCUUCUACUGCCUUGGAUUUGCACCUCUAAGGGGUCACAGGGGCCACCCCCGAAGCAAGACAAAGUGUGAUCAUGAACAGGCCCUCGGGGGGCCAGAAGAAGGAACGGCUCCAGUGAUGAAGGCUGAACGCCAGCUCUCUCCCCAUUGUUCUCCCGGACCAGGAGAGGGCUGCUCGGCAGGGCUGGGUUUAAAAACCUUCCAUGCAACUUACGAAGGCAUCCACAGUGACUUCUGCUGCUGUGGUACGUUCUGCCCUCCCCUCCUCCCCGCCCCAUCCUGUUCUCGGCUACAAGUUAUUUAUAUGUACAGUGUCAUCUGAACGUGCAUGGGCCUAUCCCAGGACAUCACACACAAAGAGGCUGCGGUGAACCCAAGCCGCCGGGCCGGCCUGUGGCUCAGUGUCUGUUUCAGAAGUCCCGGCCCCAGGCAGCUCUCCUGAACAGAGCCACUGGAACUCAGGAGGGUCAGGACCACAGCCCAAACAACUGUGACCGAAAACACCCUACAGGGCUUGAGAACUAAAAAAUAAGGAGGGAUCUGGGCAGCCGAGCUGCCUCCUAAAGAAGCCACAUCAUAGAGAAAACUGCUUGCUCUAUCUAUGAGACGGAGGCGGCCGGGGUGUCCUGCCAGCAGACACGGGUCUGUCCAUCACCGGCCACCGCGCUGCCUCUGUCCUUCACUCCCAUUUAAGGGAAAACGAUAUCUCUUCAUCUUUCUGCCCUGGACAUUGGAAAUCAGCGGUGAGAACAGUGCUCUUGCUACAAAAUGCUCAGGUUCUAGAAUGCUCCCAUCUUUCCUUCCAUUCCACAUGGAGUUUAUCCAAAGCACAAAGGCCAGUCAUGGCACUGACAUCCGUGGUGCCCGCCCACCGGCGAGUGGGAAACAGAAGGCUGUCCUCAGAGGACCGUGACUGUGAGCCUGCAGCUGCUUGUGGGUGGGGCCAGCCCGCAGCUCCUCCUGGAGGCCUCGGGCUUCUUGCUGCUGCAUUUCUGUGACAUGUGGAGGGAGGAUCGUUUUGACACCUGCCUGGGAAGUUUCAAAGGAGAUGGCCUCUGGGCAGGGGUUUUAAACUGAAGGGCACCACACAGAUCCAGAUGUGAACUGUGGCUGUUGUUUGCAAUUGAAGCAGAGAUGCAGAGGAUGGAACAGGAGUGCUGGCCACGCUGCUCUAUGGCCUUGGCCCAGCCAAGACCCCCAGUCAAUGGGGCUACGGGACCCCCGCUACACAGGGACCUGGGAACCACCUUUGCCGCGGUUGACCGCUGGGCCCGCCAUGCACCGCCCACACCUGGCUGUGCCUGGAGACUGAGAGCAGGGGGUGAUGGUGGGCCUGGAAGAGUCUCUCCCUUUUGCAAACGCCAGCCACAGAGGUUUAUUUUUCUCCCUGAGAGAAGGAAGAGUGAAGGCUGAGACUGAGACAGAAGGAGAAGACUUAGAAGCCAGUGAGCCCGGAGCCACGAGACGCGCUCAGAGGACACGGGGCCUCGGGGAAACCGGGCACGGGCAGGGGUUGGUCUUGGCUUCCCUGCAACAUUGCCGCGAGCUCGGGUGCCGUCUCCACUCGCAGGCUGGCCUGUCCUCUGCAGCCAUGAGCUCAGGCACCGUCUCCAUUCAUAGGCCAGCCUGUUCUCUGCAGCCUGAGGUCCCUGUGGUGCCAACAUCCAGAUGCUGAGAUAAUUCUGCCAGGGUGUUGGCUGAUCGGUGAUUGGUGGUUGGCUGUUCUGUGAGUUCUGCAUUGAUCUUGCUGGCUGAGCGUCCAAUGCGGAGGGGCAGGUGCUGUUAGGGUCUCCACUCCCAUCCCUCUCCCCAGGACUCAUCACCCACUGCAACCGUAAGCUGCUAGGGGCUCACAGCCGUGAGUCUUUGGAACGGGUGGUCCCACCUGGCAUGCAGCUCAGGCUACCAGCCCCAGGACCCUGCUGCUGCUCCCCUCCCGCCCACAUCUUGGCUUAGCCGUCUUCCCUGGCUGCCAGCCCCUUCCCCUGGUCUUAGUUGGCUUGGGCCACUAAACUGAAAUAGCACACCCUGAGGCCUUCAACAGCAGACCUGAUUUCUCACCAUCUGGAGGCUGGAGGUCCAGGAUCCAGGCCCCCAAGGCUGCUUUCUCCCCCACUCCCCCACCCACCUUCCAGGACACGCGGACUCCACCCUCUUGCUGCCCUGUCUCAGGGCUGUCCCUCUGGGCAAGCAGGCCCCUGGCAUCCCCCUGUGUCCUCUCCUCCUGUUCUUAUAAGGACACCAGUCAUACUGGAUCUGGGCCCACCCUAGUGACCUCAUUUACCUUAAUCACCUCUGAAAGACCUUGUCUCAACAACAGCCGCAUUCUGGGGCACUGAGGGUUAGGGCUUUAACAUGGGAAUUUGAGGGAUGCAAUUCACCCCAUAAAACCCAGACCAUUCCCCCAAUAAAUCACUUUCACAAGAGCUCUUCUCUCAGGCUUCGCUUCUGGGGGAUCCCCCUUGAGACGGCUCCAUCUAGCUUCCUGCUUCUCAAAGAACAGAGGGGAGAGCCCUGGUGUGAAGGUAACGGGUGGCCUUGGGGGCCUGCGGAUAAGCUGCUGGCACUGCCAGGGGACAGGCUGAGCUGAAAGCCAGGAGGAGGGCGGCGAGGCCCGGGCUGGACCUCGUUCUUCUGAGUGUUAUAAAAUCUGGCUUUGCUCAGAAA
rnacentral:lncRNA from 1 species